rnacentral:rRNA from 1 species
GCUCAGGAUGAACGUAGGCGGUGGUUCUGAUACAUGCAAGUCGAACGCACAGCGAAAGGUGCUUGCACCUUUCAAGUGAGUGGCGAACGGGUGAGUAACACGUGGACAACCUGCCUCAAGGCUGGGGAUAACAUUUGGAAACAGAUGCUAAUACCGAAUAAAACUUAGUGUCGCAUGACAAAAAGUUAAAAGGCGCUUCGGCGUCACCUAGAGAUGGAUCCGCGGUGCAUUAGUUAGUUGGUGGGGUAAAGGCCUACCAAGACAAUGAUGCAUAGCCGAGUUGAGAGACUGAUCGGCCACAUUGGGAUUGAGACACGGCCCAAACUCAUACGGGAGGCUGCAGUAGGGAAUCUUCCACAAUGGGCGACAGCCUGAUGGAGCAACGCCGCGUGUGUGAUGAAGGCUUUCGGGUCGUAAAGCACUGUUGUAUGGGAAGAACAGCUAGAAUAGGAAAUGAUUUUAGUUUGACGGUACCAUACCAGAAAGGGACGGCUAAAUACGUGCCAGCAGCCGCGGUAAUACGUAUGUCCCGAGCGUUAUCCGGAUUUAUUGGGCGUAAAGCGAGCGCAGACGGUUUAUUAAGUUUGAUGUGAAAGCCCGGAGCUCAACUCCGGAAUGGCAUUGGAAACUGGUUAACUUGAGUGCAGUAGAGGUAAGUGGAACUCCAUGUGUAGCGGUGGAAUGCGUAGAUAUAUGGAAGAACACCAGUGGCGAAGGCGGCUUACUGGACUGCAACUGACGUUGAGGCUCGAAAGUGUGGGUAGCAAACAGGAUUAGAUACCCUGGUAGUCCCCACCGUAAACGAUGAACUCUAGGUGUUAGGAGGUUUCCUCUUCUUAGUGCCGAAGUUAACGCGUUAAGUGUUCCGCCUGGGGAGUACGACCGCAAGGUUGAAACUCAAAGGAAUUGACGGGGACCCGCACAAGCGGUGGAGCAUGUGGUUUAAUUCGAAGCAACGCGAAAAACCUUACCAGGUCUUGACAUCCUUUGAAGCUUUUAAAGAUAGAAGUGUUCUCUUCGGAGACAAAGUGACAGGUGGUGCAUGGUCGUCGUCAGCUCGUGUCGUGAGAUGUUGGGUUAAGUCCCGCAACGAGCGCAACCCUUAUUGUUAGUUGCCAGCAUUCAAAUGGGCACUCUAGCGAGACUGCCGGUGACAAACCGGAGGAAGGCGGGGACGACGUCAGAUCAUCAUGCCCCUUAUGACCUGGGCUACACACGUGCUACAAUGGCGUAUACAACGAGUUGCCAACCCGCGAGGGUGAGCUAAUCUCUUAAAGUACGUCUCAGUUCGGAUUGUAGUCUGCAACUCGACUACAUGAAGUCGGAAUCGCUAGUAAUCGCGGAUCAGCACGCCGCGGUGAAUACGUUCCCGGGUCUUGUACACACCGCCCGUCACACCAUGGGAGUUUGUAAUGCCCAAAGCCGGUGGCCUAACCUUUUAGGAAGGAGCCGUCUAAGGCAGGACAGAUGACUGGGG